GCUCUUGUUGCUCGGCCCUCCUCUUCUUAAUUUCCAAUUUAUAAUUCAUUUAAUUUAUAAAUUAGGAAAGUCUAAACCCUGAAAGCCAUCUAAUGAAUUUCUUAAACCUAUUAAAAUAGGAAAAAAUAAAAAUAUAGUAAUGAUGUGUUAUCCAGUAUAGCUGUUUCAAUAUGCAUAAUGAAUUCACAUAACAGAAAAUUUAUAAUGAUAUGCUAUCCAGUUAGAUAUCCUUUUAGAAGUAAUUGUAAUCUUGUCUAGGUUAGCCACACAUACCCUAGCACAAACCAUCCUACUGCUGAAUAUCCAGCUCUUGGUGCUCAAAUCUCCUUUUUGUUUUCAAUUUAUUGCACAUGCCAUUGAUUUAAUUAAAUUGCAUUUAGGAAAAUCCAGCCCAUUACACUUCGAAUUAAUAACUCAGACAUACUCAUACACAGAAACAUAGAAAAAAAUUAGCAAUGAUGUAUUCUCCAAUAUAUCUGUCCAGAUACAUGUGCAUGAAUUUGUGUAAAAGAAACUUAGUAAUGAUGUGCUAUGCAGCAUACCUCUCAUGAUACCCUUUUCAAAUUAGCUAAACUUGUGUGAUAUGACAAGAAUACUUGUCUAAAUACACACUG
rnacentral:lncRNA from 1 species